rnacentral:rRNA from 2 species
ACGGCCGCGGUAUCUUGACCGUGCAAAGGUAGCAUAAUCAAUUGUUUUAUAAUUGAAGACUGGAAUGAAUGGUUGAAUGAAAUAUUAGCUGUCUUAUUUAUAUUUGUUAGAAUUUAACUUUUAAAUGAAGAGAUUUAAAUAUAAUUGAUAGACAAGAAGACCCUGUUGAGCUUAAAAUAAUUUUAAAGGAAUAUUUUAUUACGUUAGAUAAAUAAAUUUUAAAUUUUUUUUGGUUGGGGCGACUGAGGAAUAAUGAAAGCUUCCUUUAGUAAAAUUAUAUUACUUGAUUUCGAUCCAAUAUUAUUGAUUAAAAAAAAUAGUUACCACAGGGAUAACAGCAUAAUCUUCUUUGAGAGCUCAUAUCGAAAAGAAGGGUUGUGACCUCGAUGUUGGACUAAAAUAUCCUAUAAAUGUAGCUGUUUAUGAUGGUUG